CCACCUGAAAUUGCCAAUCUCGGCUCAUCUGCUCCUAACACACCAAAGACACCACUUCUGAAGCCUGGUAAAAAGUCAGCAAGUAACACUCCAGUUUCAAGUUUAAAACCGGCAGACUCAGAUGAAGAUUCUCUCGUUAUAGAUGAAUCGGAGAGAGGUGGGAAGAAGAGGAAAAGAUUGGAGUCAGAUUCAACACCAGAUGUGCCAGCCAAAAAAGCAGCAUCUGCAAGGGAAGUUGCAAAAGAGAACUCAAAACAGGUAAUAGAAGAACCACAGAUUAGUCGUAGUGGACGAUUGAUAAAGCCCAAAAAGUUCCUAGAUGAAGGUGAAGAAGGAUCAAGACCUCCCUCAGCCAAUGCAAGUGCUCCUGGUACACCAGUUCCAGAAGUUGCCUCUACAGCCACGACCACCACAACCCCCUUAACAA